rnacentral:miRNA from 2 species
UCCCACGUUGUGGCCCAGCAG